AGGAAAGAGGAUGAAGGAAAAAUAAAAAGACAGCAAGAUAAUAAAUAUGGAUUCAGCUGUUUUUGGAGAGGACGAUGUGGAGGUGUCCACUCGACGUCACAGCGAGACCGGAACAAGAAACCAGAAAACCCUCGUCCCAAACCUCGACGAGCAGGAUCCAUGUCUGUUAUUCUGCUACACUGAAGCUAAAAAGAGCUGUUGAUCAGAGGAAGAAAGACGAGGACAUGAAGACCUGCACUAACUGUCUCUUUAAUGAAGAUGCUGUGGUUAUUAUAAAGUAGUUACUGCUCCUUCUCAUUCGUUUAAAAACAAACGCUUACUGCAUGAGAUUUGCAUUGUGAAUAAAAAGUUAAUUUGUCUGUAUAUAUAGUGUGCUAAAAUGUAAGUAGGGCCAAUCGUAUAUGACAAAAUAUCACCCCAUGCCUUUUGUGGUUGGCCUAUAUAAUUAAAAACUGUA